rnacentral:lncRNA from 1 species
UCUUCACUUCCUUUUCUUCUUCCUUCUUAAUACCACCUCCACCAUUAUAAAUUAUAGAUCUACACAAAAUUAAAAAACCCUAACUUGUCAAAAAUAAUUUCUCAAAACCCCUAACUUUUAGAAAUUUUAAUCCAACAUCAUCAAUUCAUCAUCAAUAGAAGAAAAAAAAAACCUAGAUUCUAACAAAAUAAAAUAACAUACCAAUUGAAUAUAAAUGACGAUCAACCAAUCAAUCGAUCUGCUACAAUUAAUAAACCCUAAUUUCGAAAUCGAAGAAGGGAAAUCAAGUUGGACUAAAACUUUACUAAUUUUUUUCCGCGAAAUCUCUCUCUCUCUCUCUCUCUCUCUCUCUCUCUCUCUCUCUCUCUCUCUCUCUCGCACUCUUUUUGUUGAAGAGCAGUAAAAAAAAAA